UCCCUAGUGGUCCAGUGGUUAGGAUUCCAAGCUUCUAAUUUGGGGGACACAGGUUCCAUCCCUGGUCAGGAAG
rnacentral:tRNA from 1 species